rnacentral:rRNA from 1 species
UGUCACAGCCACAUCAACCUGCAAGCCCAAGACCGGUUACUCACUAAAGUUAAGCAGGGCUGAGCCUGGUCAAUACCUGGAUGGGAGACCACAUGGGAAAACUAGGUUGCCUAGGUUG